GAUCAUGGCUCAGGACGAACGCUGGCGGCGUGCCUAAUACAUGCAAGUAGAACGCUGAAGGAGGAGCUUGCUUCUCCGGAUGAGUUGCUAACGGGUGAGUAACGCGUAGGUAACCUGCCUGGUAGCGGGGGAUAACUAUUGGAAACGAUAGCUAAUACCGCAUAACAGUAGAUGUUGCAUGACAUUUGCUUAAAAGGUGCAAUUGCAUCACUACCAGAUGG
rnacentral:rRNA from 1 species